rnacentral:rRNA from 1 species
UACGGAGGGGACUAGCGUUGUUCGGAAUUACUGGGCGUAAAGCGCACGUAGGCGGAUUUGUAAGUCAGGGGUGAAAUCCCGGGGCUCAACCUCGGAACUGCCUUUGAUACUGCAAAUCUCGAGUCCGGAAGAGGUGAGUGGAAUUCCUAGUGUAGAGGUGAAACUCGUAGAUAUUAGGAAGAACACCAGUGGCGAAGGCGGCUCACUGGUCCGGUACUGACGCUGAGGUGCGAAAGCGUGGGGAGCAAACAGG